rnacentral:rRNA from 1 species
CGGCAACAGCUCAAAUUUGAAAUCUGGCCCUAGGCCCGAGUUGUAAUUUGCAGAGGAUGCUUUUGGCGCGGUGCCUUCCGAGUGCCCUGGAACAGGACGUCAUAGAGGGUGAGAAUCCCGUAUGUGACUGGAUACCUAUGCUCAUGUGAAGCUCUUUCGAC